GAGUAGUAUAAGUUAUGAUCUUUAAACUCAAAAAAUUUGGCGGUACUUUAUCUUAUCAGAGGAACCUGCUUAUUAAUUGAUGUUCCACAACUUUAACUUACUUUUAUUAAAUUAUUUGUAUACCGUUGUCAUGAAUCUACUAAAAAGUUAUUUUCAAGCAUUUUUAUGUAAUUUAUGUUAGAUCAAGGUGCAGUUUUUGAAAGAUUAAAGUGGGUUACAUUUUUUAUAAUGGAUGAAAAUUAUUAGUAAAGUAAUAAUGGAAACAGGAUUUGAAAGUAAAGAGAGUUAUUAAAGAUUUUACAUGAAUAUAGAUUCUAAAGUAUG
rnacentral:rRNA from 1 species